CAGGAUGCACCUGAGCUCAAUUUCGAGUCUCAUCGCAAAAGGUCUGAAUACUUAUGUUAAAUAAAGGUAUUUCUGUUUUUUAUAGAUUUACAGAAAUGUAUCUAAACCUGUUUUCACUCUGUCAUCAUGGGCUAUUGUUUAAGCGUUGUGAGGAUUAUUAUUUUAUUUUUAAAAUCCAUUUUAGAAUGAGGCUGAAUAAUACUUUCUGAAAGCGCUGAAUACCUGGAUAACCAGACGUCUAAGGUCACCUGGAUAACCAGACGUCUAAGGUCACCUGGAUAACCAGACGUCUAAGGUCACCUGGAUAACCAGACGUCUAAGGUCACCUGGAUAACCAGACGUCUAAGGUCACCUGGAUAACCAGACGUCUAAGGUCACCUGGAUAACCAGACGACUAAGGUCACCUGGAUAACCAGACGUCUAAGGUCUCGACUCGCUAGUUAAUCAGUUAUAUGAAUGGAUCAGUUAAGUACCACGGAGAGAUGAAGAGGCAGGACUGUGUGCUCCUAGUAGUACUAGUUGUAGCUGGGGUGUAGAUCCCUCAGUUGUCCAUCCCUACUAGGGUUGCAAAACUCCAGGAACUUGUUUUUCCAGACAUCCCGGUUGGAGGAUUCACAGAAUCUGAAGGGAAUAAGAAGGAAAUCUGGAGCCCUCCAACCAGGAUUUCUGGAAAACCAGGGAAUUUAUUGAAAGUUCCUGGAGUUUUGCAACCCUUUCCCUUCUCUAAGCAGACAUGGCAUGUACUCUACAUCAUCGGUACUUGGUCUCUAAAUCCAUGAACUGAGGGAAGACUAAGAAGUCCAUUCGUUUCAUACACAAUGUUUUUAUUUGGGUCGUAUGUCUUCGUGUGCACGUUGUGUUUGUAUUUGGGUCGUAUGUCUUCGUGUGCACGUUGUGUUUGUAUUUGGGUCGUAUGUCUUCGUGUGCACGUUGUGUUUGUAUUUGGGUCGUAUGUCUUCGUGUGCAUCUGCACGUUGUGUUUGUAUUUGGGUCGUAUGUCUUCGUGUGCACGUUGUGUUUGUAUUUGGGUCGUAUGUCUUCGUGUGCAUCUGCACGUUGUGUUUGUAUUUGGGUCGUAUGUCUUCGUGUGCAUGUUGUUUUAUUUGUUUUUAUUGGUCCAAACUAAAUAUACUGUAAGUAUAUUGUCUGUGCUCUUGUUGUUGAUGCAUUGGAUUGUGUAUAGGGUAUUCUACAUAUGCUAUUUUAAUGGGAUAUUAUCACUCUGGAAAUAAGGGAAUUGGGGCUUUGCUGCUUCUUCAGACUGAUUUGAAUAAAUGUUUUAUACUGUUUAA